GAUAAAAUCAAAAAAGUAGAUUGUUUAGGUUAAAUUUGGAAAAAAUUUUGGAGAGCUUGACGUGGAUGCUAUCAAGUUUGCCUGCCUUCUUCACCAAAGCGUUCCAGUUUAGAAGCCAAGGUCUUCUCUUGGCAAACCAAUCUCUCUCUCUCUCUCUACAGCCAGUACACGAUCUCCAUGCCAACAAAUUGAAGCAGCAACGAAUCCCUCAUCCCUCUCCCUUAAGGGAAAACAAGAACCUCACGAGCACAGCUCGCUAUGCAAGAGUUAAUCCUUACCUUGGAAUUGGUGUUGACGCGUGCUGUGAUGAUCUGAUUUCCAUGUGUGCUGCGCAAGUCUUGUUUUGAUUUCCAUAUGUGUAUUGCAUGGUUGGAUGUUUGCUUUUGUUCCCAUAUAAGUGCUGCAUGUCGUGUUGUCCAAGUGAGUGCUUUCCAUAUGUGAGUUGCGUGUCAUCAUUUGCUGAAUUGUUGCUUUGUGCAUGGUUUCCAUAUGUGUCAACAUGAGAUGAUCCAAUACACCCCCGCAAUCGCAACGUGCUACUGAAGAUGUUGAGAUUGGAACACAUCCAAUGGAAGCGUGUGGAGACCAAUGGUUUGGUGAAGACAUCAGCGAAUUGUUCUUUGCUGGACAAGUAUUUGACCUGAAGAUUCUUUUCGGCAACCUUGUCUCGCACAAAAUGGUAAUCAAUUUCAACAUGUUUUGUGCGAGCAUGGUACAUGGGGUUGGAUGUGAGAUAAAUGGCACCAAUAUUGUCACAAUACAGCGUGGGUGCAGCAGAGAGGGAAACACCAAGUUCACACAAGAGAGCUUGCAUCCAGCAAAGUUCAGCACUAGCAUUGGCUAAGGCUUUGUACUCAGCCUCGGUGCUUGAUCGGGAGACCGUUGGUUGCUUUUUGGAGCUCCAGGAAAUGAGGUUUCUGCCAAGGAAUACACAGUAGCCGGAGGUGGACUUGCGGUCGUCCGGGCAACCAGCCCAAUCUGCAUCUGAGUAGGCAAACAACUGGGAAGAAGAGUGACGACGGAUCAGCAGACCAUGGGAGAUGGUAUGUUUCAGAUAACGAAGGAUGCGCUUCACUGCUGUCCAAUGCACAUCACGAGGAUUUUGCAUGAACUGAGCAACUUUAUUGACCGAGAAGGCAAUGUCCGGUCGAGUUAAUGCAAGGUAUUCAAGGGAGCCCACAGUGCUUCGAUAUACAGUGGCAUCAGAGAGGGUAAUGCCAUCAAAUUUGCUCAGUUGAGAGGAGGAAGACAUGGGAGAGCUGAUUGGUUUAGCAAGGUGCAUAUUGGUUCGAUGGAGAAGAUCAGAAAUGUACCUUUGUUGAGACAGUAGCAGCCCAUCAGCAACUCGUUGGACCUCAACGCCUAAGAAGAAGCUUAAAUCUCCAAGAUCUUUUACAGGAAAUUCAGUUGAGAGAGAAUUGAUGAGAUGGUCCAGUGCAGCAAUAUUAGAACCUGUGAGUAGAAUGUCGUCCACAUAAACCAGGGCAAAGAGCUGAACAGAUGCAUUUUUGAACAUAAAGAGAGAGCUAUCCGACUUGGAACCUUUGAAACCAAGCUCCAACAAAAAAGAACUCAAUCUUGAAAACCAAGCACGUGGUGCUUGCUUAAGGCCGUAAAUGGCUUUCCUGAGUUUGCAGACUGCAUUAGGAUGCUGAGGAUGUUGAAAGCCUGGGGGCUGAGCCAUGUAGACUGUUUCAGACAAAAAACCAUGUAAGAAGGCAUUGCUAAUGUCAAUUUGUUUGAUAGGCCACUGAGCUGUAGUAGCAAUGGAAAGGAUGGUUCGAAUGGUGAUAGGCUUGAUCACAGGGCUGUAAGUUUCGUCAAAAUCGACUCCAGGUUGUUGAUGAUAGCCCUUAGCCACUAAUCUGGCUUUGUAGCGGUCCACACUGCCAUCAGCUUUCCUCUUGAUGCGAAAGACCCAUUUUGAACCAAUAAUAUUGAAUGAUGGUGUAGAGGGAACUAAUGACCAGGUAACAUUUUUAAUGAGAGCAUUGAACUCUUCGGACAUAGCCUGACGCCAAAUUGCUGACUUCACAGCUGAGGAAAAACAGGUUGGUUCACUGUCGGGAAAGCCAAGGGUGGCUGUUAAAGCAUGAGGGAAAGGAUAUCGGGUAGUGCCAUCAGUGAAAGUUUUUGGUUUGUGAAUAUUGUUGAGGGACCGGGUGACCAUUUGGUGUAUCCUAGGAGGUGGGGCUGGAGAGGAGUCAAUAGGAGCAGAGGAUUGUUCAGAUGUGGGGGAAACAGGGGACUCGUGAUGUGGUAAGAGAGACGAGGUAGAAGGAGGAUCCUCAAUGGCAGUGGGGAAACUAGUGUUGGAGGUAGGAGGAGGGGAGGGUACAAUUGGAGAAGGGAGGCGGAUUGAGUCGGGGAGAGCAACAGGAAUGGAGGAGGUAACAGGAGGAGUGGAAGGCCUGGUUUGAAAGGGAAAAGCUGAUUCAUUGAAGAUUACGUGGCGUGCAACGUAGAUUCGACCUGAAGGGACAUGCAGGCAGCGAUAACCCAUGUGAGGUUUGCUAUAGCCGAUGAAGACACAAGAUUGGGAGCGAAAGGCCAUUUUGUUGGAAUUGUAUGGCCUUAAGUAGGGCCAGCAUUCACAUCCAAAUGACUUGAGGAAGGUGUAGUCAGGUGGUUUCUGGAACAGGAGUUCAAAAGGAGAUUUUGUGGAGUUGAGAGAAGAGGGUAGCCGGUUGAUGAGAAAGCAGGCAGUGUCAAAAGCAGCAUCCCAAUAUUGGAGAGGGAGAUUAGAAUGGGCAAGGAGGGCUAGACCUGUGUCCACGAUGUGGCGAUGGCGCCUUUCGACUCGACCAUUUUGAUGGUGAGUGUGGGGACAGGUCUGGCGAUAUGAGAUGCCUUUGGAAGCUAGGAGUUUUUGCACAGGAAUGAACUCACCCCCUCCAUCAGUUUGCACAGAUUUUAUGGAAGAGUUGAAAUAGUUUUCUACUAAUUUUUGGAACUGAGUAAAAAUAGAUAGCACAUCAGAUUUUUGUUCCAAGGGAUAAAUCCAAGAAUAUUUAGAAUAGUCAUCAACAAUAUGCAGGAAAUAACGUUUAUUCAUUGAAGAAAGAAAAGGGGCAGGACCCCAUACAUCCAUAAACAACAGACUGAGAGGUCGAGUAGACACUGAAGUGGAACUAGGAAAGUGCAGCCUAUGAGAUUUGCCUUGUUGGCAGGCAGAACACACAGAUGCAGGUUUAUUGGGAAGAACCGGAAGUUGCUUGUUGAGUAAGACACGACGAACAAUCUUGAAAGCAGGAUGACCAAACCUAUGAUGCCAUUGAGCUAGGGAGACCUUCUCACUAACUAAAGCAUGACUGGAAAGCCUUGGAGGCAGAGAGGUUGGCCAUGGGUAAAGACCCCCUUUACUCGGGCCUUGAAGAAGUAGAGUUCCUGUGUGGAGGUCCUUCACACGAAAACAGUAAGGAUGAAAUUCGAUGAAAACAUGAUUAUCCUUAGUGAAUUGAUUUACUGAAAUGAGAUUUUUCUCAAUUUGAGGCACAUGUAAUAGAGAUUGCAAAGUAAAAGUAUGAUUGGGGGAAGGAAGAGAGGCUAAACCAGUGUGAUGAAUGUCCAGACCUUGACCAUUGCCGACCUUGAUUUGUUCAGAACCAGUGUAUUCCUCAGCUCUUAAGUUCAGAUUGGAGAGUUCAGGUGUCAAGUGGUUGGUGGAUCCUGUGUCAUGAUACCAGUUGGGAUCGAAGACAGUGUUGGGGCCAGUAAAGUAUGCAGCAGGAGAAGGCUGCUCAACCUGGUAUGCAUGAUCAAAACGAGAGUAGCAUUUGUUGGCAGUAUGUCCUGGUUUGAGACAAAUCUGACAGGUGGGCCGAUUGGGAUUGGAGAAGGAGAACUGAUGAGAGCCACGGCCACGACCCCUGCCACGACCCCGAGUUGCAUUAUAAGAUGGAGCUCGCUGGUGUCUUGGUUGAAAAGAGGAUUGUUUGUGAGCUACAUUAACAGAUGAUAAGGAGAGGUCAGGGGCCGCAUGAUGUUGGUUGAUACGUUGCUCAUAGGUGAGCAAAUAGCCAUAUAAUUCUUCAAUGGAGAGUGGAUCAACUCUGGUGGUGAUGGAGGUCACGAGGGGAUCAUAUUCAGAAUUGAGGCCUGCAAGUAGAUAUGAGACAAACUCAGAGCUCUUGAGAGGCUCGUCACUGGCAGCAAGAGUGUGGGCCAACGUUUGGGCCUUCUGGAAAUAAUCAGGAAUUGAAAGGGCACCCUUUUUUAGAGUUGCUAGCUGAUAACGGGAUUGCAUAACCCGGGACUUGGAUUGGGAAGAGAACAUCUUUUCCAAGGUGAGCCAUACUUCUUGGGAGGUAGUAAGAUGUACUACAUUUGCCAGGAUAGGUUCAGACAGAGAUGAAACCAGUGCUGAGAGGAUUAGUUUAUCUUGGUGAUACCAAGAUUGAAAAGCUGGAUUGAUGGAAGAUGAGGAUGAGUCAGAGGUGGUGGCAGUGAGGAAUUUCGGUGGGCAGGGAAGAGAACCAUCAAUGUAUCCAAAAAGCUGCUGUCCUUCAAGGUAGUUGGACAUCAAGAAGCGCCAGGAGACAUAAUUUUCACGAUCCAAUUUGAGGGUGACAUGAGUGUUGAGAUUGGGCAGAGGUGUGGUGGCUGAAUAAUGUAAUUGCCUGAAUUUUCAUUACAUGAUGAGGGGUUUAUAUACAUGUAGAAACUGUGAUAAAUAAGGAAUGAAUACAACUAUUGUGUACACAGUUAAUUGGUUUCAGAUUUUAUGCUUGAUUGCUGAUAUCAUGCUUUGCUGAUUUAGGUGUUGACGCGUGCUGUGAUGAUCUGAUUUCCAUGUGUGCUGCGCAAGUCUUGUUUUGAUUUCCAUAUGUGUAUUGCAUGGUUGGAUGUUUGCUUUUGUUCCCAUAUAAGUGCUGCAUGUCGUGUUGUCCAAUUUGGACGCAGAAGGCCUUGCAGAGGGCUCGGGAUGAGGCGAAAGAAGAGUUCAGCUUGAAGAUGUUGGGAAGUUAUCCAAAGCACACUUCAUUCUGAUACAUGAAGAAGAAUUGCGAUUAAUAAUUAUUUUGGUAUGAUAUUUUGACAAUUUACUACAAAUACUUGUGUAUUUGUUUUGCUUAUUAUAGGUUAGAUAGAUGUUAUAACAUUUUAUAGUGUAAAGUACAUUUAAAUUUUAUUUGAUUAUAUAUAUUGAUUAGAGUUGUUUGAGUCUAAUGGAUUUUGAUUACCA